AACCAACACAGAAUUCUUAAAAUUUUUUGUGGUAUUGGGCUUUUAAAUUCACAUUUGCUUCAUGUAAAUAUGAGGUGAAUGGCAGUUAUCGGAAGAAUUCCAUGGGAGGGUCCCCAAGAAUUCAUUUAUAGCUCAGUUUACCAUAUUAAUUCAUAAAAACAUUACAGUACCUACAAGGUUUUUUCUUUGCAAUUUGCAUCUGCAUCGCAGUUGCAUUGAGAGACUGAUAUGGCCUCAUUUGACUCACCAAACUCACCACCAAACCCAUCUUUUGCAAUUAGAGAAACAACCCACAAGUUCUUGAGGAGUCUCUCUUCUGAAGAACCACCUUCUUUCUCUCAUUUUCCCUAUUCUCCAACGCAUUUAGCCACCCCACACCGCCGUUCCUCUCCAU
rnacentral:misc_RNA from 1 species